rnacentral:rRNA from 1 species
AAAGGUAGCAUAAUCAAUUGGCUUAUAAUUGAAGUCUAGUAUGAAUGGGAAUCCGGGGAAUAGCUCUCUCAAUUAAGAUUAUAUAAUUUACUUAAUGAGUGAAAAGACUCAUAAUUAGAAGAAAGACGAGAAGACCCUAGAAAUUUUGUUAUAUUAGACUGUAUAUUAUUUUGUUGGGGCGACAUAGUAACAAUAUAACUUACUAUACUAUACACAAGCUACUUAUAAGAUGUUGGAUUAAAUUACUCUAGGGAUAACAGCAUUAUUCAAUUUGAGUUUUUGACCUCGAUGUUGGACUAGGAAAUAAUUUCUUUAGAAGAUAAAUUAAACGGCUCUGUUCGAGCUUCAACUCCUACAU